rnacentral:lncRNA from 1 species
CGCUCAUUAUAUAAUUCAAAUUUAUCUACAUUAUAAAGUUUUAUGCAUCAGUUCCAAUAUUUAUUAGCAGAUAUUUUAUGCAUAAAUUAUCAGAAGUUCAGAGAUGUUUUUAGAAGUUCCAAUCUCUAACUAUUUUAGUACGGUUUCAGAAAGUACUAUCUAUAGUGUUUUCAGAAUAUACUAUCUAUGUUUUAAAAAUAC